GCGCGCCGCUCCUCGCGCCUGCCCCGCAGCCAACUUAGCCAAAGCAGCCCAGGGCCGCCGCCCAGCGUCCCGGAGCCUUGAGGAGAGCCGUCGCGACCCGGGGUUGCCUGGGCAAGGGCGGGGCGAGAGUGCAGAAUGCCUUCUCUUGGACAGUUUCUGAAAGAAGGACCAAAGUAAUGCCAAGAACUCCCAGAUGAAGAGGACCUUCCUUAGACCUGUAACAGAUUCACUACUUGACUUCAGAGGGAAGUUUCAGCUAAUUCUCAGGAAAAGGUCAAAACAGGCCUGUGACUGUCCCUCCAAUACUGAAGCUGGCCAUUCUGGCUGCCUCACAGCUCUCCUGCCUUAAUUCACAUUUGAUUGCCUGGACAGAACCACCAAGAAUGUCCAGACGACUGCCACCCGUCACCCAUGGGCCUGAGAUCCUGCCCUGAUGCCUUUCUUCAGACCCCGGGAGGACCCACAAUCUCCCUGAUCCCCACCUUCCCCAGAGUGGUCUCUAUAGGAAAAAAGCAGAGCUAGCUAAGGCCUGAGACAGAGCCAUUUCUUCCCCUUGGGCAAACGAGGUAGACCCUCCCAGAGACCAAUGCCGGAGAAGCCCGGCCCCGAUCUCCCUUUAUAUGGCCUCCCCCAUCACGGAACCCGUGGGAAAACCUGGCACACAAUGGCGCGGCUGCUCCGGGCACCCUCAACCCAGCGCCCUACGGCAAGGCCUGGAGCAGCCUGGUGGUCUUGGUGCGUUCCCUUUGCCCUCCCCUCAACCCUCCGCGAGCACCCGUCCCGGGAGAGAGACCCUGGCUAGGGUGGAAGUUGCCUCCCGCAAAGGGCGCUGUUGCUGGGGUUUCCCCUCCCCCAUUCUCUUGUUUUUCUGCUUCUGAGACUCGGAAGGGAGGUGGCAGGCGCCUCCACAGCCGAUAGAGCAGCUAUUGUGACCUUCCCUUGCAGAGCGGGAACCCAGCCGAGUGUGUACCGCCGGCGGUGGCGGGGGAGGAGGCGACUGUGUGUGCAAACCUCAGUCGCAGAGGGGGUGGCACUGGGAAAUAAAGGUUUGCAACCUCAGGCAGUUGGGCCCUUCAGAGGGCGUUUGGUUGUGUUUAGACUCGGGUGCUUUCUAACACUAAUUGCAGGCUCAAAAGGAGCGGAAUUUAUAGCGAAGGCCAAGGCGGCUUGUUUAUAAUUUAUGAAGUUUUAAAUGGCUGUGCCGCGGGCCCCAACUUUCUCCUGGGCUGGCAGCCGCGCGGAAACGAGCCCUCCCACGGCUCGCCGCCCACCCCCACCCACGCCCCUCAGAUAAGUCUCACGCCAAUGACAGGAACAGAUCCGAGCCAUUCUUAGAAGUCUCGGGAACCUCCAAAGGUGAGAGAAGGUGGCAGAUUUGGUCCAAGCCCUCACCCCACUCGAGAGGAGGGCAUCAGGGAAGGCUGCGGCUGCCCGGAGAGGAAGCCCCCGAUCCCACACUUCCUUGGAGCCUGAGUGUGAGAGGAAGCUGAUGUCAGCCGGGCUAGACACCGUUUAAAGUCUAAUCCAUGAAACCCUAAGCCGCAAAUGACACUUGGGGCUUUGCAGACACCCGCAGACUCAGCAGAUACUCCUGCGGUAACACACUGUGCUGGAAAACGCCUGGAGCCAUGAUACAUUAUGUAUUUUUAUUAUUAUUUAUGGUAGGAAGAGGAGAUGAGGGAAAAUCGGGCUGAAUCUAAGCAGCCUGACAAUUCAACUAUUUAAUAUUUAGCCAGUUAAGAAAGGUGGUUGUAAUCCCUGCAAGGCAGUGAGCUCUUCUUUGAUUUCGCUAAUUGCUUAAAAAAUAAAUUCUUACAAGACAAUUAGAAAUUCUGCCUAUGGAUGCAAAUUUCAUAGAAAACAAUGUUAAGCCUUGAAAGUGGGUAAAAUAUGCCUUCGAUUGAAGUCAUUUAUUCUGUUGAUACACUUCUACAACAUAUAUAUAUUUUAAACCUGCUCAGAUAGAGUGAAAUUUAGCAAAAGGAUAUCCCCGCCCACCCUCAAAUCUAACAUGCCAUUUUAAAAACAGCACAAAGGAACAAGGAAACUAAAUAUUAUUUUGAGCCAUCAUUACUUAGUGAAAUACAAACAUCCAAAUAGAAACGAUUGUUGUUCCACCAGAAGAUUAGAAGUUAAAUUAUUUCCACACAAUAAGAAUUUCACCUUGUGUCAUCGGGGAUGUAGUAGGAGUUGCAUUAUUUGUCAAACCAAAUAGAGAUGCGUGGGCUGACUUUGCUGAAAUACAAAAGAAUUGAACCUUAUCAGAAGGCGUUUUCUAAGUGGCCCCUCCCAUAGAAGCAGGGAAGUUGUCCACCCCUAGCAGAAGCCACAUUAUUUACAAAAUGGUUAUAAAUCCUUGAAGACAUUUUUGCCCAUUUUGUACAAAGUAACAGGAGUAAACAAGGUGUUUAUACUUAUUAUGUUUCAUUAAUGAAACUUUUAUUACUUUACGUCAUGGGGAAUGCUUGUUUUCUUUAGAAAUGAACUAAUGAUCACUACAAAGGAAGAAUUCAUGACAGCAUUUCCUAGAGAAAAAGCUUAGGUGCGCGUCUCCAAAUGAUGGUUUCUUUUUCUACACCUUAGCUUUUUCAUAGCUCAAUUUUUCUUACAACUUCUCUUGUGUUUUUUCUUUGAUUGUCAGUUUUCUUUCAAAGUUUAUUUUUUGUUACUUAAUGCAGAAAAGUGAGCUCUGGCCUCCCCAGUGUAAAAGUCAAUUGUGUCUAGAAAGAGGGCAGUAAAAACAGCAAAGCAGGCGCUGCUUUCAAAAAGCCCUGUCCAAAUCAUCCUGCCCAGAACCUUUUUAGGUUUGCAUCCUCAUUUCCCCCUCCCCUAAUUUCAAUAGCUGGAAAGUAAUCAAGUAUCCCCAGAACCAAUUUAUGCACUAGACUCCAAAUAAAUAAAGUAAUUUUUUCAAAGUGUCA